rnacentral:rRNA from 1 species
UACGUAGGGGGCAAGCGUUGUCCGGAUUUAUUGGGCGUAAAGGGCGCGUAGGCGGGCCGCCAAGUUCGAGGUGAAAUCCUCCGGCUCAACCGGAGAACUGCCUCGAAUACUGGAGGCCUCGAGGCGGGUAGGGGCACGCGGAACUGUGGGUGGAGCGGUGAAAUGCGUUGAUAUCCACAGGAACUCCGGUGGCGAAGGCGGCGUGCUGGACCCGAUCUGACGCUGAGGCGCGAAAGCCAGGGGAGCAAACGGG